AAGACUAUAGACCUGCGGAGUACCUGCGGAAGGAUCAUUACAGAGUUACUACUCCAAACCCAUUGUGAACCUUACCUAUGUUCUGUUGCCUCGGCGGCGCGGUCAGCGCCCCUCUGAAAAGAGGACGAUGCCCUCCCGCCGGCAGCACCAAACUCUUGAAUUUUACAGCGGAUUACAGUUCUGAUUUAAAAACAAAAAAAACAAGUUAAAACUUUCAGCAAUGGAUCUCUAGAUCGGAAG
rnacentral:misc_RNA from 1 species